UGAAAGUUUAAGUCAAAUUAUAUCGGUAUUGAUUAUUUGCAUUGCUAAAAAUUUAUUAUUUUAUUGUUAAACAAAGCUAUAAAAACCUAGUGCGCGAGUGAUGUUUUCAAUGAUUUCUCAUUUAAAAUCGAACGAGUAGGUAGAGUAGCUACAAGUGCAAGCGAGGCAAUUUCUACGUAGCAUGCGUUAAAACGCAUGUAUUAGGCACGGGAAACACUAUGUGUUUAUAGCUUUUUUUAACAAUAAAAAAAUUAAUUUUUAGCAAUGCAAAUAAUCAAAACCGAUACAAUUUGACUUAAACUUUCAAAUGCGGUAAACAGAAUUGCUACUUUAUUUUUUAAUCAAAAGUUAUUCUGUUUCAAAAAUUGUAAUUUUUCGAUUUUUUGAAAGUUCAACCGCAGUUAUCUCGAAAACAAUGCAUUCUACGAAAAAACUUGUAGGAAUAUUUUUUGCUUAAAAUGACCCAAAAAAUACAAAAAGAUGUUUUGUUUUGCGAGAAAUCGCUGUUAUGUAAUUCCUCAAGUUCUUUGUCUAUAACAAUCUUAUCGACAUCCGGAUCAACUGUUACCCAAAAAAUUCGUAUUCUGCGGGUCAAAAUAUAUAAAAAAAAAACUUGGGUAAGUCCAUUACACGUGUUAGACUAUAUCUAUCAAACAUCAAAAAUUUGUAUUUGAUAAGUAGGUACUUAGGUUUGAAAAUUAAGGUAAUUAUGAACCAAUUUCAUGGUAAUUAUUUGAUGAAACGCGUUUAAAGCUUUAAAGUUUGUUGCUUAGAACUGUAAAAACCUUAAUAAUCUGGGUAAAGAUAAAAUAUUUUGUACUUUAAUCUUUACUCGAAUUUUAAGUACUAUUUAGGAACUUUCUUUCGGACCUUUUUCCUAGACGAAUGAAAGCGGAAUGUGACUGCAUAUUGUAGAGCCCUUUUCGCUUUCUUUAGUCGUCGUCUUUUGUCUUAUAAAUUGUACAAGUCAGACAUUAAGGAUGUUACCAGAAUGAGGUUUCAAUAAGAAAAGUUUCAGAUUUAAAUAAUUAUUUAGGAUUUUACUUUUUACUUUAAUAAUGAAUUUUGUAUCUGGGACUUUUCUCUUUUCUUUAAUUUAAAAUUGUUUUUUACUUUUAAUAAUAUCCUUGUAUUAUCGAUAUCAAUGUUUAGAUCAUAGGAUAUUUUUCUGGCUUCAAGUUGAUUCGUCGAAUUGAAUAGGUAACCUUGUUUUUGCAAUAAUAAAGAAACUAUUUUAUCUAUAAGUAUUUUGUUUGUCUUAAUAUUAGAUUAAUUUGAUACUAUUGUCAUUUUUAAA